AAAUCUGACUUUAUUGCAGUAUGAAAAGGAACCAGAAUAUCCAACAGUUCUUUGUUAGCAAGAAAAGCUGAUGAAGACAGUGAACUGAUCAGAGCAGCUGACGUUAGCAGUACCAGCAGUGGUUCAGAUAAUGUUAGCGAGUCAGAUCAGGAUGAUGACAGGCAGGGUAAAGCGACUGAGCUAGCAGCUUCACCUGAUGACCUGGAUUCAGACAAGGGUACUGGAGACACUUCAGAUCCUUACAGAGACAUCUCCCAAUCAAGGGCAGCAGAUCCAACUCAACCUGUGCUAGGAUGUUUCCCAAGACCACACAAGGUCAGAAAAGAAGGGCA